rnacentral:rRNA from 1 species
UAGGGAAUCUUCCGCAAUGGACGCAAGUCUGAUGGAGCAACGCCGCGUGAGUGAAGAAGGUUUUCGGAGCGUAAAGCUCUGUUGUUAAGGAAGAACGAGUGUGAGAAUGGAAAGUUCAUGCUGUGACGGUACUUAACCAGAAAGGGACGGCUAACUACGUGCCAGCAGCCGCUGUAAUAAGUAGGUCCCGAGCGUUGUCCGGAUUUAUUGGGCGUAAAGCGAGCGCAGGCGGUUAGAAAAGUCUGAAGUGAAAGGCGGUGGCUCAACCAUUGUAGGCUUUGGAAACUGUUUAACUUGAGUGUAGAAGGGGAUAGUGGUAUUCCUUGUGUAGCGGUGAGAUGCGUAGAUAUAUGGAGGAACACUGGUGGCGAAAGCGGCUCUCUUGACUGUUACUGACGCUGAGGCUCGAAAGCGUGGGGAGCUAACAGG